rnacentral:rRNA from 1 species
UACGGAGGGUGCAAGCGUUAUCCGGAUUUAUUGGGUUUAAAGGGUGCGUAGGCGGAAUUGUAAGUCAGUGGUGAAAGCCCUUCGCUUAACGAAGGAACUGCCAUUGAUACUGCAAAUCUUGAGUACAUUUGAUGAGGGCGGAAUGUGUCAUGUAGCGGUGAAAUGCUUAGAUAUGACACAGAACACCGAUUGCGAAGGCAGCCCUCAAAACUGUAACUGACGCUGAGGCACGAAAGCGUGGGUAUCAAACAGG